GCCAAUGUGGCAUAGUGGUUUGAACGUCAGAUUACAACUCUGGAUGCCAGGGUUCAAUUCCCUGCUUAGCCA